rnacentral:rRNA from 1 species
UACGUAGGGUGCAAGCGUUGUCCGGAAUUAUUGGGCGUAAAGAGCUCGUAGGCGGUUUGUUGCGUCGGCUGUGAAAUCCCGAGGCUCAACCUCGGGUCUGCAGUCGAUACGAGCAAACUAGAGUGUUGCAGGGGAGACUGGAAUUCCUGGUGUAGCGGUGAAAUGCGCAGAUAUCAGGAGGAACACCGGUGGCGAAGGCGGGUCACUGGCCCGGUACUGACACUGAGGUGCGAAAGCGUGGGGAGCAAACAGG